rnacentral:lncRNA from 1 species
CUUUGAGGGCAACAUUGCUCUCUCCCUGGGAUUAGGAAAUUUUAGAACAUAUUAAGGAAAAUGACUCUGAACCACCCUUUCCUAUCCUCACCCCCACCAAACGCAGUCCACUUGGAGACUUUCCCUCUGCUGCAUUGGAUGACAUCGUGAAAAGCCUGCUGCUGUCUGCUUUGAGAACUCACUCUGUGCUGGGGCAGUCCUCCAACAGUCUGGAAUAAUUGACACCUGACGUUAUGGCGCAGGGGAAGUGACCUAGAAGUGGAUACUUACAAAUGGACAGCUCUCGAAAGAAAUCACUUACAGAAUCCCUGCAAAUUCAUGGAUCCCAGACUCCAAAUACUUGAGUAAGAUUCCAGUCCUAUUUCCCUUAACC